rnacentral:rRNA from 1 species
AUUGAACGCUGGCGGCAUGCCUUACACAUGCAAGUCGAACGGCAGCACGGGAGCAAUCCUGGUGGCGAGUGGCGAACGGGUGAGUAAUAUAUCGGAACGUGCCCAGUCGUGGGGGAUAACGUAGCGAAAGUUACGCUAAUACCGCAUACGAUCUACGGAUGAAAGCGGGGGACUCGCAAGAGCCUCGCGCGAUUGGAGCGGCCGAUAUCAGAUUAGGUAGUUGGUGGGGUAAAGGCUCACCAAGCCAACGAUCUGUAGCUGGUCUGAGAGGACGACCAGCCACACUGGAACUGAGACACGGUCCAGACUCCUACGGGAGGCAGCAGUGGGGAAUAUUGGUACAAUGGCGCAAGCCUGAUCCAGCCACUGCCGCGUGCAGGAAUAAGGUACCUAU